CGGCUCGUAGCUCAGUUGGUAGAGCUUCGGUGUGAAGUACCGAGAGUCGGGGGUUCGAAUCCCUCCGAGCCGACCA
rnacentral:tRNA from 1 species